rnacentral:rRNA from 1 species
UACGUAGGGUGCAAGCGUUAAUCGGAAUCACUGGGCGUAAAGCAUGCGCAGGCGGUUUUGUAAGUCUGUCGUGAAAGCCCCGGGCUCAACCUGGGAAUUGCGAUGGAGACUGCAAGGCUUGAAUCUGGCAGAGGGGGGUAGAAUUCCACGUGUAGCAGUGAAAUGCGUAGAGAUGUGGAGGAACACCGAUGGCGAAGGCAGCCCCCUGGGUCAAGAUUGACGCUCAUGCACGAAAGCGUGGGGAGCAAACAGG